GGGCUUGACAUCCCUCUGACAGUCCCUUAACCGGGNUCUCCCUUCGGGGCAGAGGAGACAGGUGGUGCAUGGUUGUCGUCAGCUCGUGUCGUGAGAUGUUGGGUUAAGUCCCGCAACGAGCGCAACCCUUGUCAUUAGUUGCCAGCAGUUCGGCUGGGCACUCUAGUGAGACUGCCGGGGAUAACUCGGAGGAAGGUGGGGAUGACGUCAAAUCAUCAUGCCCCUUAUGUUCUGGGCUACACACGUGCUACAAUGGCUGGUACAAAGAGAAGCGAGACCGCGAGGUGGAGCAAAUCUCAAAAACCAGUCCCAGUUCGGAUUGUAGGCUGCAACUCGCCUACAUGAAGUCGGAGUUGCUAGUAAUCGCGAAUCAGAAUGUCGCGGUGAAUGCGUUCCCGGGUCUUGUACACACGC
rnacentral:rRNA from 1 species